CGAACGGGUGAGUAACACGUGGGCAAUCUGCCCUGCACUCUGGGACAAGCCCUGGAAACGGGGUCUAAUACCGGAUACUGAGCCACUUGGGCAUCCAAGUGGUUCGAAAGCUCCGGCGGUGCAGGAUGAGCCCGCGGCCUAUCAGCUUGUUGGUGAGGUAAUGGCUCACCAAGGCGACGACGGGUAGCCGGCCUGAGAGGGCGACCGGCCACACUGGGACUGAGACACGGCCCAGACUCCUACGGGAGGCAGCAGUGGGGAAUAUUGCACAAUGGGCGAAAGCCUGAUGCAGCGACGCCGCGUGAGGGAUGACGGCCUUCGGGUUGUAAACCUCUUUCAGCAGGGAAGAAGCGAAAGUGACGGUACCUGCAGAAGAAGCGCCGGCUAACUACGUGCCAGCAGCCGCGGUAAUACGUAGGGCGCAAGCGUUGUCCGGAAUUAUUGGGCGUAAAGAGCUCGUAGGCGGCUUGUCACGUCGGUUGUGAAAGCCCGGGGCUUAACCCCGGGUCUGCAGUCGAUACGGGCAGGCUAGAGUUCGGUAGGGGAGAUCGGAAUUCCUGGUGUAGCGGUGAAAUGCGCAGAUAUCAGGAGGAACACCGGUGGCGAAGGCGGAUCUCUGGGCCGAUACUGACGCUGAGGAGCGAAAGCGUGGGGAGCGAACAGGAUUAGAUACCCUGGUAGUCCA
rnacentral:rRNA from 1 species